AACGAACGUUGGCGGCGUGCUUAACACAUGCAAGUCGAACGAUGAAGCCGGAGCUUGCUCUGGUGAAUUAGUGGCGAACGGGUGAGUAACACGUGAGUAACCUGCCCUUGACUCUGGGAUAACUGCGGGAAACUGUAGCUAAUACCGGAUACGACCCUCGGAGGCAUCUCCUGGGGGUGGAAAGAAUUUCGGUCAAGGAUGGACUCGCGGCCUAUCAGCUAGUUGGUGAGGUAAAGGCUCACCAAGGCGACGACGGGUAGCCGGCCUGAGAGGGUGACCGGCCACACUGGGACUGAGACACGGCCCAGACUCCUACGGGAGGCAGCAGUGGGGAAUAUUGCACAAUGGGCGCAAGCCUGAUGCAGCAACGCCGCGUGAGGGAUGACGGCCUUCGGGUUGUAAACCUCUUUUAGCAGGGAAGAAGCGAAAGUGACGGUACCUGCAGAAAAAGCACCGGCUAACUACGUGCCAGCCGCCGCAGUAA
rnacentral:rRNA from 1 species